rnacentral:rRNA from 1 species
UACGUAGGGUGCAAGCGUUAAUCGGAAUUACUGGGCGUAAAGCGUGCGCAGGCGGUCUGUUAAGACCGAUGUGAAAUCCCCGGGCUCAACCUGGGAACUGCGUUUGAAACUACAAGGCUAGAGUGUAGCAGAGGGGGGGUAGAAUUCCACGUGUAGCAGUGAAAUGCGUAGAGAUGUGGAGGAAUACCAAUGGCGAAGGCAGCCCCCUGGGCCUGCACUGACGCUCAUGCACGAAAGCGUGGGGAGCAAACAGG